UGUUCGAAGAAACUGACGAAACGUAUACCAAAAGUUGCCGCUGCGACAAACAAAGAAGAAACCAACAGAUACUUUUGUCUCUACAUACGCAUACGGACCUGGGCAAGAGAUAAACGCUAACAAAUUUUAUUUGCUAUUUGCCAGUCGCAGAUAAAUAUUUCGCCCCAUACAGAAUGGGGGGUGUGGAUGUUUUAGCAUUUGGCAAAAAAGAACAACGAAAUACAUUUUUGGCGUUGAUAUUCCAAACACGACGAAAUUUGACGAAUUAGCUUCCCUGAAUACGAUAAACACAGAUAUAAAAGUAUUACGCACGAAUACAACUACAAUUGCAUAUACAAACAAAUUUAAUCACAAAUACAAAUAGCCAUUAAAGCAUUCAAUAGCUUCGGCUAUCAUACUUUUAUUUUUUAAUAUGUGCAUAUGUAUGUAGUAACAGCAUAACAGUUGACCGAACGUUCGACCAACCGACAGACAAAUGACGAUGAAACAUUUUGAUAUGAAAAUCGCAAUAUGUAUGUAUGAACGCGUGUAGCUACAUGGAAUUAAGUGAAAACAAAUACACGAACCACAACAUCCAACACAAAAAAAAGAGCGCCAGUACAAAGUGGCGACAUUUUAGGUAUAAAAUGAGCGAAUUAAAUUAAAAAUCUGGUGAUUUAAGUAACGAGCACCCUCCAGAUGGGCUACGGAGAGAGGGAUGCCAACUUAACUUAUAACAUUUUCUUAGUGGGAAAUAUUAAAAUGUAAAUAGUCACAUAUUAUAUUAUGUGAUCGUUUAAAAAGUACGGUUACCAAUUUUAAAAAUCUUAAAAAAAUAAUCAAAUAUACGCCAUUUUGGUUUUUCUUGGCAUUUUUCGAGGAAAUUCCGUUAGCGUAGAACUUCUGUGAAUUCUUGAAGUAUCAUAUUUGCUAAUACAAUUCGCGAGAACGAAUUACGUUGGCUUUCAGAAUACAUCAGUAAAUCAACAACAAUUUCCUAUAUACAUAUAUAUUUUUUUAAUAAACCUGACAAUCUUGAACUCGAAUCUCCUGCUGCUGAACUAAACACCCACGCGCACGACUUACACGACCAGCUACAAAGGACGUAUGAGGGUUGCCCUAAGAAAGUUACCAUUUCAAUGCCUGUGCGGAAUGAUACACAAAUAAGAUGUAAAGCUCAGUGGCGAAUUUGAGAGAGCAACAGUGUGAGAUGAUGGAUGCAGAAUGAGCCCAAAUAAUAUCAAUGCGAUGGGAUUUCGGUGGUUUUUCGGCAGAAAAAAUAUUGUAAUAUGUAAUACACAUGUACCUAUAAAUAAAGGGUCCGCCAUAUAACUUUACGGAAUUAAAAAUGCUAUAAAAAAUAAACUACUCAAUAUUUUUCCAAACUGUUUUUUUUAUUUUGAAGUACAAUCCGUCCGGUUAAUGAUGGAACACAACUUCA